rnacentral:rRNA from 1 species
AACGAACGCUGGCGGCAUGCCUAACACAUGCAAGUCGAACGAGACCUUCGGGCCUAGUGGCGCACGGGUGCGUAACGCGUGGGAACCUGCCCUUAGGUUCGGAAUAACUCCCAGAAAGGGGUGCUAAUACCGGAUAAUGUCUUCGGACCAAAGAUUUAUCGCCUUUGGAUGGGCCCGCGUUGGAUUAGCUAGUUGGUAGGGUAAAAGCCUACCAAGGCGACGAUCCAUAGCUGGUCUGAGAGGAUGAUCAGCCACACUGGGACUGAGACACGGCCCAGACUCCUACGGGAGGCAGCAGUGGGGAAUAUUGGACAAUGGGCGAAAGCCUGAUCCAGCAAUGCCGCGUGAGUGAUGAAGGCCUUAGGGUUGUAAAGCUCUUUUACCCGGGAUGAUAAUGACAGUACCGGGAGAAUAAGCUCCGGCUAACUCCGUG